CUAUAAAUUCUCUCAUUUUCUGGGAGAUUUUUGCUUUCAACUUUUCACCAACUUCUGGAUUCCGACAGAGUCUUUCUAAUCAAGUUGCUGUGGAUGUGGUCCAUAAUGGGGGUGCCCAGGAGUUUGUUGUUGCUCCUAAUUUUUCAGAGUUUUUCAGAAGGCAUUUCAGUGACAUAUGUCUCCAGCUGUGAUUCAUGUCAUGAUGAAGCAACCUGCCCGGAGUCACGAGAAAGAGGUGACUCUUUCACCACCCAACGGCACUCUUGUGUCUGUAAAGAUGGCUUUGUAGGUGAUGGUCUUAGAUGUUACAAUAUAGAACUCUGCCGUAACUCCUCUUGCUGCAGCCAAGGUUAUCACUGGUCACCAAACAGCGGCUGUGUGGACACUGACGAGUGCUCCCUCCCAAACUCACCGUGCAUGGCACCUCAAGUUUGUCAAAACACCCAGGGCUCCUUUGAAUGCUUGGAGCCUUCCUCCACCAACAAAUCAGGUCCCUCUUUCCAAUCUGUCCAUUUUAACUGUGGACACACAAUUUGUCCUUUAGGUAUGGACUGCAUCAGUAAUAAUGGGGUUGAGCGCUGUGCUGACCCCUGCGAGCACUAUA